rnacentral:rRNA from 1 species
UACAGAGGUCCCAAGCGUUGUUCGGAUUCACUGGGCGUAAAGGGUGCGUAGGCGGCGCGGUAAGUCGGGUGUGAAAUCUCGGAGCUUAACUCCGAAACUGCAUUCGAUACUGCCGUGCUUGAGGACUGGAGAGGAGACUGGAAUUUACGGUGUAGCGGUGAAAUGCAUAGAUAUCGUAAGGAAGACCAGUGGCGAAGGCGGGUCUCUGGACAGUUCCUGACGCUGAGGCACGAAGGUCAGGGGAGCAAACGGG